rnacentral:lncRNA from 1 species
CUGUGGAAUAGUUGCCUGAGUCUUUGGGUGUGAGAUACUUAUGCAGCACAGCAGCUUCAAUACUGUGCUCUGAAAUCUCGGGUCUAGUUACUAUGGAAUGGAAAGCUGAGGACAGGGAGUAGAAGGAGAUUCUUCAGUAGUUUUUUGAACUCAACUUGUCCAUUCCAGCUAAACUUUAUUUCUUAUGCAACAUAAGUCUAUGAAGGCAAGAUUUUUCUUGGCAGCAUAAUUACUGCUACCUAAUAAGGGAAGAGAAUUUCCUUCUAAAGAUUCCUGCUGUUUUCUCAGCAGGUGGGAACUUUUGCACUCUGCAGCUGCUGGGUGCCAUUACUGUCCGUCCUGGGCUUGCUCUUUCCAUUCUGAGAUGGGAAUGGAAAAAUCCACAGGGAACAAUUGGGACUGUCCCGGAACUCUUGGACUUUGGGCUACUGUGUGCAUAACCUCGUGGAGGGUUCUGAGCAGCUCUGUCCAUCUACAUGUGAAGGAUCAAAGGGUGCCCCAGGUGUGUCCCUACUGACUCCAUAUAAGGCCCAGGGGAAGUUGUGCCCUGAAGAUAAAGGAAAUUAAGCUUCAGCACCCUUCAGUUGUCAGGGACUAGACCUUUCUAAGACACCAGGCAGAGGACCUAGCAAUGUGUGCAUAUGUUUCUUUUAUAAAUGGCAAAAAUAAGACAUUUUUCUAUUGUUUUCCAUUAAAGAUGGUCUCAAAAACUUUGUAAGUUUAGGCCCCACAAAUCUGUGUCCACCCUUGACAGGCUUCCUCUGGCUAUGCCUGAAGGAUUUUCCCUUUAUAUAACUAGAUAGUCAGCAGCCUCAACUCCAAGCCAGGGCACACUGGCAUGCCAGGGAUGGUGUGGGAAUGCAAGUAAAGAGGGGCAUUCACAACUCUGUUGGCUGCUGGAUGCAGAGAAAACCACAAGCUGGAUAAAGAGCAGCCUCUGGGGAAAAACAAGCUGUAGACCUGAGGUCCAGCAGCAAGAGUUCCUUCUUCAAACAGGUGGUUAGCAAGUGGCACCCAUCAGCUACCUGUUAAGUCUUUGAGAAAAAUUAACGACCUACUUUAUAAUUUAUACAAACAAAAAUACUGUCGCCUAUGUGCUGCGCCCCAGCCAUUCCCCAGCCCUGGUGCGGCUGUGUCCUGUAGUGGAGACAGCCCUGGAUAGGUUCCAGCCUUGGCUCCUCUGCUAGGUAGCUAAGUUAUGAAUGCUUAGCUUUGUUCAUCUUUAAAAUGAGUGUGUUGUAUUAGGCAGUCUCACUCUGAAACUUAAAUCAUUUUAUGGUAUGGGGGUAGAGUUUAUAUGAUUUCUGUAGAGAUACAAGAGUAGUGCUGUGGGAAAGUAUGACGCACCUGUUGGGAAGGAGGUUGACAUAUGGAGAAAAAUCAGACCAUAUGGGAUUAUGAAAUUUAAAAAAUUAUCUCCUCCUGCUCAGUAAACGUGCCAAAUAUAAGCCUAUCAUCCUAAGAACUGUCUUCCUUUUAACAAAUGAGAAGAAAUUAUGUGCAUUUCCAAAAUUAAAGGGAUAUUCACGUCAUGUUAAAUGUGUGACAUAUGUAGGCAACGACGAAGUUCUGAGAAGUAAGUUUGUGUUUACGGUAUGGCCUUUGUUAUUUAGGAGAUUACAAUUAAAACAGGACUAGCCCAGAUGAAACAAUUAACAAAGCUGAUGAGCUAUAACCAAAACCCAUGAUUAGUGAUGGGUUCAUUGAAUACAUUCUAGUACAUCUGUUCUAUGGAAUACCAUGCAAUCAAUCAUCAAGUAGAAUGAACCACAUUUAUAUGUAUUGACUUGGGAAGGUGUAGAAGACAUAUUAAGUAAACAUAAACAAGUGGUAAAUUAUAAUGAAAAAUAUGACCAUGUUUUUGUUAAAAGCAUAAAUGAGACCUCAACAGGUGAUUCAGUGCUUGUGUAAGCGUAGAAAAAAUAUGGAAUGAUAUAUACACCAGCAUGCUAAUACUGGUUACUUUAAGAGAGUAUAAUUGGACAGGGGAG